UACUGCCCAAUAAGCACAAUCCUGCAGACAUGGUCAGACCUGUUGGUAACAUUGAUUGGUAACAUUGGCAACUGAUUGGUAAUGUUGAUGCAGAUUACCGGUUUUUAUACUGUAAUUCAGACCAGCUCUAAGUGAUGUUUGGAUAGGUAUACGAAAGGCCAGCAGAGAGCCUUCGCUGGAUGUUUCUCAGUGAGUAGAUGGAUUGUGGGAGAG
rnacentral:lncRNA from 10 species